UACGGAGGGGGCUAGCGUUGUUCGGAUUUAUUGGGCGUAAAGAGCUCGUAGGCGGCUCAUUGCGUCAACCGUGAAAACCAGCAGCUCAACUGUUGGCUUGCGGUUGAUACGGGUGGGCUGGAGUUCGGUAGGGGAGACUGGAAUUCCUGGUGUAGCGGUGAAAUGCGCAGAUAUCAGGAGGAACACCGGUGGCGAAGGCGGGUCUCUGGGCCGAUACUGACGCUGAGGAGCGAAAGCGUGGGGAGCGAACAGG
rnacentral:rRNA from 1 species